CCUUUCAAUACCAAAUUAAUAGUGUGGAAGCUAUUAUCAGCACCUGAAACUAAACCCAAACAUUCUAGCCAGAUACAAAAUGAAGUUAGAAAAUAAGAAACAAUAAAGCCAAACCAAAUAAGUCAUGUUCUCAUUCAAAUUAAUGAUCACUUCAUCAUUGGCCUAUCAUUCCACAACAUAGGUGUGGAAUAUGUCCCAAAUUCUUCAUGCCCUUCAUUAGAAAAAGGAAAUCAGAGUUCUUGUUGCCAUUUUCCCACUGCUAAUCUCACUUCCUCAUUUUCCUCUCUCCUUCAACCUUUCUUCUCCAGGGACUUGCUGAACAAAGUAUCAAGUGUCAGUGCAGGGCUCCAGAAAGGAUGUGAUAAGAAUGUUACUUGCUUCUUAAUCUCAUAGGAUAAGGCUCAUUUGGGAUCAACUCCUUUCUGUGAAGUUUUUUCUCUGCUAUCUGGUGAGUCCUUUCUAUUAGAGUUAUUCCCAGUUAAACUUCAUUUAUGCCAUCAUAACUUUUC
ensembl:lncRNA